GCCUGGAUAGCUCAGUUGGGAGAGCAUCAGACUUUUAAUCUGAGGGUCCAGGGUUCAAGCCCCUGUUCAGGCG
rfam:Tinamus guttatus contig55105, whole genome shotgun sequence.